CCUACGGGAGGCAGCAGUGGGGGAUAUUGCACAAUGGGCGAAAGCCUGAUGCAGCGACGCCGCGUGAGGGAAGACGGUCUUCGGAUUGUAAACCUCUGUCUUUGGGGAAGAAGAUGACGGUACCCAAAGAGGAAGCUCCGGCGAACUACGUGCCAGCAGCCGCGGUAAUCCGUAGGGUGCGAGCGUUGUCCGGAAUUCCUGGGUGUAAAGGGUGCGGAGGCGGGGAUGCAAGUUGGAUGUUUAAACGAUCGGCUCAACCCGUAAUUGCAAGCAAAACUGCAACGCUUGAGUGAAGUAGAGGCAGGCGGAAUUACUAGUGUAGCGGUGAAAUGCGUAGAUAGUAGGAGGAACACCAGUGGCGAAGGCGGCCUGCUGGGCUUUAACUGACGCUGAGGCUCGAAAGCGUGGGGAGCAAACAGGAUUAGAUACCCCGGUAGUC
rnacentral:rRNA from 1 species